CGUGCAACAGAUGCAGAUGUAGUGGAACUAGAGUGCUGACGAUCCUCAUACCAUCUAAGAAAUUUGUUGAAGACUGUAGGGUUGUCUACAGUAUUUGAUGAAGUAGGAUGGUCUGCAGACGGUGAUUGGGGAGGUCGAGGAGGUGGAUCAGAAUUAACCACUGCUACAGAUCGAGGAGGGCGUCCAUGAAGUGCAUAACAUCUAUCAAUUCUAUGGCCUAGCUUGCCACAAUGGUCACAUUUUGGUCGUCCUCUACCUGGCUUGC
rnacentral:lncRNA from 1 species